rnacentral:tRNA from 1 species
AAGGAUUUAAGUUAAUUUACAAACUACCAACCUUCAAAGUUGUAAAUAAAGAAAAUACCUUUAAGCCUUA